AUACGGAGGACCCGAGCGUUAUCCGGAUUUAUUGGGUUUAAAGGGUGCGCAGGCGGCCAUUUAAGUCAGCGGUUAAAUCGUGGGGCUCAACCCCAUUCUGCCGUUGAUACUGGGUGGCUUGAUUGCGGUCGAGGUUGGCGGAAUUCGUUGUGUAGCGGUGAAAUGCAUAGAUAUGACGAAGAACACCGAUUGCGUAGGCAGCUGACCAGACCGCAAAUGACGCUCAUGCACGAAAGUGCGGGGAUCGAACAGGAUUAGAUACCCUGGUAGUCCGCACAGUAAACGAUGAAUACUUGUUUUCGGCGAUAUAAUGUCGGAGGCAAAGCGAAAGCGAUAAGUAUUCCACCUGGGGAGUACGCCGGCAACGGUGAAACUCAAAUGAAUUGGCGGGG
rnacentral:rRNA from 1 species